GCCAGAAUGGUGUAGCGGUUUGAGUGUUGGACUGUGACUCUGGAGACCAGGGUUCGAUUCCCAGAUCAGCCA
rnacentral:tRNA from 1 species